rnacentral:rRNA from 1 species
GAUGAACGCUAGCGGCAGGCCUAAUACAUGCAAGUCGAGGGGUAGAGUAGGCUUGCUUACUUGAGACCGGCGCACGGGUGCGUAACGCGUAUGCAACCUACCCUUUUCUGGGGGGAUAGCCCGAAGAAAUUCGGAUUAAUACCGCAUAAGACCACAUGAUGGCAUCAUCGAGAGGUCAAACAUUUAUGGGAGAAGGGUGGGCAUGCGUGCCAUUAGCUGGUUGGCGGGGUAACGGCCCACCAAGGCGACGAUGGCUAGGGGAUCUGAGAGGAUGGCCCCCCACACUGGUACUGAGACACGGACCAGACUCCUACGGGAGGCAGCAGUAAGGAAUAUUGGUCAAUGGAGGCAACUCUGAACCAGCCAUGCCGCGUGCAGGAAGACGGCCCUCCGGGUUGUAAACUGCUUUUAUUCGGGAAUAAACCUGCCUUCGUGAAGGUAGCUGAAUGUACCGAAGGAAUAAGGAUCGGCUAACUCCGUGCCAGCAGCCGCCGUAAUAC